CCAAUACGGGAGGCAGCAGGUGGGGAAUUUUGGACAAUGGGCGCAAGCCUGAUCCAGCCAUGCCGCGUGUCUGAAGAAGGCCUUCGGGUUGUAAAGGACUUUUGUCAGGGAAGAAAAGGCUGUUGCUAAUAUCAACAGCUUAUGACGGUACCUGAAGAAUAAGCACCGGCUAACUACGUGCCAGCAGCCGCGGUAAUUUGG
rnacentral:rRNA from 1 species